UUGCCCAUUUAAGACGUGUGCCGUGUCUUAAAUGACUAACACAGGGGGGUAAAACAGAUCUCUCAUAAACCUAAAGCGGAGGCUGUAAUCCACGCUUUGGAUCCUGUCGGGAGAUACAAGU